GUGUCAGCCGCCGCGGUAAGACGUAGGGGGCGAGCGUUGUCCGGAUUUACUGGGCGUAAAGCGCGCGUAGGCGGCUCGUUAAGUCGGUGGUGAAAUCCCGGGGCUCAACCCCGUGGACUGCCUCCGAUACUGGCGGGCUCGAGGCAGGUAGGGGAGAGUGGAAUUCCUGGUGUAGCGGUGAAAUGCGCAGAUACCAGGAGGAACACCGGUGGCGAAGGCGGCUCUCUGGGCCUGUCCUGACGCUGAGGCGCGAAAGCUAGGGGAGCAAACAGGAUUAGAUACCCCCGUAGUCC
rnacentral:rRNA from 1 species